GCACAUCUGGUGUAGUGGUAGCAUAGUACCUUCCUACGUAUGUCUUAGUUCCAGUGAUACUGGUCAGGGUUCGAAUCCCUAGAUGUGCA
rnacentral:tRNA from 1 species